rnacentral:misc_RNA from 1 species
AGCAACUUACGGUAGCUCGGCAUUUUCAUACGUGGGUCAUAGCAUUCAAAGUUCUCAUGGGCGAUGGAUGAGAAUUCAUAGUAGGCAAUGGGACGGGAUCAGAUGGUUUGUGUGAAUAAGCGCUUGCACCUCUGGUAAUUGCAAACCAGCAACUAACUUGGGAAUCGUCUCAAGUUUUCCCAUACUUGAUUGUCAGGAGAUCAAGUUUUAUGUUUAUGCCGAGUGUUGAUGGAGAUUAUACAUGAGGCUGAGGUUCACUUGAUGGACAGAAACACUAGACAAAUAUUUAAACGACUUUUUUAUUUUUGGUGAA